CUCAAGAAUGUGUACCAGCUGUAAAUAUGGACGAAGAGUUAUAUGUUGGAUUUAGGUGGGCAUGCAAUGAGUCCGCAAUGCCCAUAAAGAACCGACAUUACAUGU
rfam:Prunus persica cultivar Lovell chromosome G1, whole genome shotgun sequence.